CCAGGUAGUUUCAGAAGCUGUAUAUAAGGCCUUGCAAACCAGUGCUCUCUACUCACUUCUCUUGUUUUACUCCCUGUAGAAAAUCAGGUUCACCACCAUCCCAACAAGAUGUUUGACAGCCUAGACACAGUUGAAAACCUGUUUUACCCAGGCCAGUCUGAUUUUCAUUGGCUCCCCUACCCUCAAAGGCGAUACUGGUGUUGCUGCUAUGACCGAUACGGAAGGCUAGUUUGGCAGGGCCCAUGCUGUUAUCCAGGCCCCUGGUGUCGCAGUUAGGAACAGCUCUGGAAGGUGAUGGCCAUGCUAAAUCCAGCUCAAACAUCCACAGCACUGCCAUGAACGAAGACAUUAAAAGCAAGAUACAGAUUCACGGCUCACCCAAAGGACAUGGCUUUAAACAGUGCUAAGCACUCAGCACCUCCCUUGUGAGGGCUCAGCACUGCUACAAGACUCCCUCCCCCAUACACCUGUUUCCUACACUUUGAUUUGUCAUUCUAGGAACCUUUAAUUUUCUGCACUGUUAAGCAUUAAGGUCCAUACAUGCUGUACUGUCACUUAAAAGGAAGAUUCUGCUUCCCUAGAGCCCACUUGCAAUCCACUGUAGACCCCUGGACACAGCCACAGUGGUGUCAAAGGGCUUUGGUGUCAACAGAGAUGGUCUUUUAUUCUUUGCUGCUAACUAGAAACUUGGUUACACAAACUGCAUCAUGGAGAAGCUGCUGAUUCUCCACCUUAUAUGGUGCUUUGCCUCGUGAUAUUUUUCAGCGAGAAAAGAAGUGAAUAGAUAGAUGGAAACAGUUUGGUAGAAAAAUCGUCAGCAGCAGCAAAGAAAGAAGUUCACCUUGUAGAAAUGGGCCAGGUGUAGAAACCCGUUUGUGACCCCUUUGGCUAACCUUGAGAAUAUUUGCUGCCUCCUCUGUAUCCCUUCUGUGUCUGUACACUCAAUUUCUUCUGUGCAUUAAACUUCCUCUGCAGCAUAA